rnacentral:rRNA from 1 species
AAUCUGGCGCAAUGGGCGAAAGCCUGACGCAGCCAUGCCGCUUGAAUGAUGAAGGACNNNGGAUUNUCAAAUUCUUUCACCGGNGACNAUAAUGACGGUACCCGGAGAAGAAGCCCAGGCUAACUUCUUGCCAGCAGCCGCGGUAAUACGAAGGGGGCUAGCGUUGCUCGGACUUACUGGGCGUAAAGGGCGCGUAGGCGGAUCGUUAAGUCAGAGGUGAAAUCCCAGGGCUCAACCCUGGAACUGCCUUUGAUACUGGCGAUCUUGAGUAUGAGAGAGGUAUGUGGAACUCCGAGUGUAGAGGUGAAAUUCGUAGAUAUUCGGAAGAACACCAGUGGCGAAGGCGACAUACUGGCUCAUUACUGACGCUGAGGCGCGAAAGCGUGGGGAGCAAACA